GUGACUUAUAGCCACACACCUCUCCUGUGGGGGUUGUGGGGGUGGUAACUUCAACAGGAGCCAGGGAUCCAGGGAUCGUGAUCGAAUGCCUUCUGUUCCAUGUAGGUGGAAAUUACCACCCACCAGGUCUCACCGGGGUUCAAAACCUAAGCUCUACUGGAGACCAGGCUGUCUGUGCUAGCCCAUUGUCCCACAGUUAUCCAGCUAGUAAACUAUGGGAUUUUCUCAAACUGAAUUUGUGACUACAAAAAUUGUCCAACCUUCUCCCAUUCCAUUGGCAGAUAUUUCUUUUAUUGAUGGCUUAUCAAAUGAUCUAGGAGAGAUUCAAGGUCCAGACAUUCGUCAAUCUAUUAAUACUCCCUUUUCCUCCGCCCAACAGGCAGAACUGUUUUUGAUUCAUCUAUUGUGCUUAAUUCAUAAACCAUUAAAUAUUGUUUUACUUUCUGCUUAUAGACUCAUACUUGUGCAUACUCUAACCUCCCUGGUUUUAUUGCAGAAGGAAAUAAGCUAAUGCAAUAUUAACUUGACCUAUUUUCACUUCUCCAGAAGAAAACUGGGAAGGGAUAUGCAUCUGCUAUUUCAGAUGGAUCCACUGUGAAUUCCUCUCCAACGGUUUCUACAGCGCCAGACCAUCUAGGAUGACAGAAAGCACAGGGCAAGGAGACAGUGGAAAUCACCAGAAAGACCUCCAGCUAAAGGGCAAAAGGAGACAGUGACCGACUCAUCAGAUGUCAAGUCUGCGCACCUUAAGAAUAUCUCUCUGGCCGGGCGUGGUGGCGCAUGCCUUUAAUCCCAGCACUUGGGAGGCAGAGGCAGGCAAAUUUCUGAGUUCGAGGCCAGCCUGGUCUACAAAGUGAGUUCCAGGACAGCCGGGGCUAUACAGAGAAACACUGUCUCGAAAAACAAAACAAAACAAAACAAAACAAAACAAAACAAAAACAAAAACAAAAAAAAAGAAUAUUUCUCUGGCAAUUUGACCCAUGAUUCUGCAGUGAGUGCCUGUGAAUAUAUGCAUUAGCUGUAUGUUCCUUAGCCUCCUUUGCUUCAACUUGUAGUUUGAGUGGAUCCAACUUCUGUUUAUGGCUGGACUGUAGGGCCAUAAUAGAAUCAUUUAUUCAUCUGGAGAAGGGACUGCAUUUAAUUUUUCUUGGGAUUUAAAUCAUUUCCCACUUACAUAACACAUAACAUUUUAUAUUCCUAUUAAAGGCAAAUAUGGACUUAUAUUCUACAAGAUACCUGAACCUAAUCAUAUGGGUUUAGUCUCAAGCUAUUCCCUACAUUUUUUUCUGAUCAAUAUAUUAAUGUAACCAAUAGUAAUAGUUUGAAUAACUGUUCUUGGUGACAGGGUAUUACAAACAAUGUUUUCACAGUUUUAAUAUUCAUUAAGUUUAUAAUUUGCUUGCUUCUAGGAUAUACAUGCAUCAGAUGACAAUUGGGUUUAUCUAAUCAAAACCAUUCUGGAUAUUUUGUUAUUAAAAAAAUAAAGACUUGGAUGUUAGAACA
rnacentral:lncRNA from 1 species